rnacentral:rRNA from 1 species
AAUGAACGUUGGCGGCGUGGAUUAGGCAUGCAAGUCGAGCGAGAACCCCGCAAGGGGGACAGCGGCAAACGGGGUAGUAAGGCGUCGGAACGUGCCCAGAGGACGGGAUAGCGGCGGGAAACUGCCGGUAAUACCCGAUGAUCUCGAGAGAGCAAAGGUGUGAUUCCGCCUUUGGAGCGGCCGACGUGGUAUUAGCUAGUUGGUGAGGUAAUGGCCCACCAAGGCUUUGAUGCCUAGGGGAUGUGAGAGCAUGAUCCCCACCAUUGGGACUGAGACACUGCCCAGACACCUACGGGAGGCAG